AAAUAAGAAGCAAUUAUUUGCAUUUAGUUUCGACCUAAAAGUUUGGUUUUACCCUUAUUUU
rnacentral:tRNA from 1 species